GCGGCGUGCUUAACACAUGCAAGUCGAACGGAAAGGCCCUGCUUUUGUGGGGUGCUCGAGUGGCGAACGGGUGAGUAACACGUGAGUAACCUGCCCUUGACUUUGGGAUAACUUCAGGAAACUGGGGCUAAUACCGGAUAGGAGCUCCUGCUGCAUGGUGGGGGUUGGAAAGUUUCGGCGGUUGGGGAUGGACUCGCGGCUUAUCAGCUUGUUGGUGGGGUAGUGGCUUACCAAGGCUUUGACGGGUAGCCGGCCUGAGAGGGUGACCGGCCACAUUGGGACUGAGAUACGGCCCAGACUCCUACGGGAGGCAGCAGUGGGGAAUAUUGCACAAUGGGCGGAAGCCUGAUGCAGCAACGCCGCGUGCGGGAUGACGGCCUUCGGGUUGUAAACCGCUUUCGCCUGUGACGAAGCGUGAGUGACGGUAAUGGGUAAAGAAGCACCGGCUAACUACGUGCCAGCAGCCGCGGUGAUACGUAGGGUGCGAGCGUUGUCCGGAUUUAUUGGGCGUAAAGGGCUCGUAGGUGGUUGAUCGCGUCGGAAGUGUAAUCUUGGGGCUUAACCCUGAGCGUGCUUUCGAUACGGGUUGACUUGAGGAAGGUAGGGGAGAAUGGAAUUCCUGGUGGAGCGGUGGAAUGCGCAGAUAUCAGGAGGAACACCAGUGGCGAAGGCGGUUCUCUGGGCCUUUCCUGACGCUGAGGAGCGAAAGCGUGGGGAGCGAACAGGCUUAGAUACCCUGGUAGUCCACGCUGUAAACGGUGGGUACUAGGUGUGGGGUCCAUUCCACGGGUUCCGUGCCGUAGCUAACGCUUUAAGUACCCCGCCUGGGGAGUACGGCCGCAAGGCUAAAACUCAAAGGAAUUGACGGGGCCCCGCACAAGCGGCGGAGCAUGCGGAUUAAUUCGAUGCAACGCGUAGAACCUUACCUGGGUUUGACAUGGAUCGGGAGUGCUCAGAGAUGGGUGUGCCUCUUUUGGGGUCGGUUCACAGGUGGUGCAUGGCUGUCGUCAGCUCGUGUCGUGAGAUGUUGGGUUAAGUCCCGCAACGAGCGCAACCCUUGUUCACUGUUGCCAGCACGUUAUGGUGGGGACUCAGUGGAGACCGCCGGGGUCAACUCGGAGGAAGGUGGGGAUGACGUCAAGUCAUCAUGCCCCUUAUGUCCAGGACUUCACGCAUGCUACAAUGGCUGGUACAGAGAGUGGCGAGCCUGUGAGGGUGAGCGAAUCUCGGAAAGCCGGUCUCAGUUCGGAUUGGGGUCUGCAACUCGACCUCAUGAAGUCGGAGUCGCUAGUAAUCGCAGAUCAGUAACGCUGCGGUGAAUACGUUCCCGGGGCUUGUACACACCGCCCGUCAAGUCAUGAAAGUUGGUAACACCCGAAGCCGGUGGCCUAACCGUUGUGGGGGAGCCGUCGAAGGUGGGACUGGUGAUU
rnacentral:rRNA from 1 species